rnacentral:rRNA from 1 species
UGCAGUCGAGCGAGGCUCCUUCUUCGGAAGGUGUCCUAGCGGCGAACGGGUGGGUAACACGUGGGCAACCUGCCCUCAGCUCUGGGAUAACUCCGGGAAACCGGGGCUAAUACCGGAUACGACUUCGGUCGACAUCGGUCGAGGUGGAAAGAAUUUCGGCUGAGGAUGGGCCCGCGGCCUAUCAUGCUUGAUGGUGAGGUAACGGCCCACCAUGGCGACGACGGGUAGCCGGCCUGAGAGGGCGACCGGCCACACUGGGACUGAGACACGGCCCAGACUCCUACGGGAGGCAACAGUGGGGAAUAUUGCGCAAUGGGCGAAAGCCUGACGCAGCGACGCCGCGUGAGGGAUGAAUGCCUUCGGGUUGUAAACCUCUUUCAGCUCCGACGAAGCGAAAGUGACGGUAGGGGCAGAAGAAGCACCGGCCAACUACGUGCCAGCAGCCGCGGUAAUACGUAGGGUGCAAGCGUUGUCCGGAUUUAUUGGGCGUAAAGAGCUCGUAGGCGGUUUGUCACGUCGGCUGUGAAAAUCCGGGGCUCAACCCCGGACCUGCAGUCGAUACGGGCAGACUAGAGUUCGGCAGGGGAGACUGGAAUUCCUGGUGUAGCGGUGAAAUGCGCAGAUAUCAGGAGGAACACCGGUGGCGAAGGCGGGUCUCUGGGCCGAAACUGACGCUGAGGAGCGAAAGCGUGGGGAGCAAACAGAUUAGAUACCCUGGUAGUCCACGCCGUAAACGUUGGGCGCUAGUGUGGGGAACCUUCCACGUUCUCCGUGCCGUANCUAACGCAUUAAGCGCCCCGCCUGGGGGAGUACG